CCUUCAUGGGAGAUGAUUGAAAGAUGUUUCGGCUAUCACUUACAGAUGGGCCCGCGGUGCAUUAGCUAGUUGGUGAGGUAACGGCUCACCAAGGCAACGAUGCAUAGCCGACCUGAGAGGGUGAUCGGCCACACUGGGACUGAGACACGGCCCAGACUCCUACGGGAGGCAGCAGUAGGGAAUCUUCCGCAAUGGACGAAAGUCUGACGGAGCAACGCCGCGUGAGUGAUGAAGGCUUUCGGGUCGUAAAACUCUGUUGUUAGGGAAGAACAAGUACGAGAGUAACUGCUUGUACCUUGACGGUACCUAACCAGAAAGCCACGGCUAACUACGUGC
rnacentral:rRNA from 1 species